rnacentral:rRNA from 1 species
GACGAACGCUGGCGGCGUGCUUAACACAUGCAAGUCGAACGGAAAGGCCUAGCUUGCUGGGUACUCGAGUGGCGAACGGGUGAGUAACACGUGGGUGAUCUGCCCCUGACUUUGGGAUAAGCCUGGGAAACUGGGUCUAAUACCGGAUAUUCAUUUUUCCUCGCAUGGGGAUUUGUGGAAAGCUUUUGCGGUUGGGGAUGGGCCCGCGGCCUAUCAGCUUGUUGGUGGGGUAAUGGCCUACCAAGGCGACGACGGGUAGCCGACCUGAGAGGGUGAUCGGCCACACUGGGACUGAGACACGGCCCAGACGCCUACGGGAGGCAGCAGUGGGGAAUAUUGCACAAUGGGCGCAAGCCUGAUGCAGCGACGCCGCGUGAGGGAUGACGGCCUUCGGGUUGUAAACCUCUUUCAGCUCCGACGAAGCGCAAGUGACGGUAGGAGCAGAAGAAGCACCGGCCAACUACGU